rnacentral:misc_RNA from 1 species
GAUGAAGAACGUAGCGAAAUGCGAUAAGUAGUGUGAAUUGCAGAAUUCAGUGAAUCAUCGAAUCUUUGAACGCACAUUGCGCCCCUUGGUAUUCCAUGGGGCAUGCCUGUUCGAGCGUCAUUUGUACCUUCAAGCUCUGCUUGGUGUUGGGUGUUUGUCUCGCCUCUGCGUGUAGACUCGCCUUAAAACAAUUGGCAGCCGGCGUAUUGAUUUCGGAGCGCAGUACAUCUCGCGCUUUGCACCCAUAACGACGACGUCCAAAAGUACAUUUUUACACUCUUGACCUCGGAUCAGGUAGGGAUACCCGCUGAACUUAAGCAUAUCAAUAAGCGGAGGA